rfam:Bacilli bacterium VT-13-104 contig021, whole genome shotgun sequence.
CUUUAUUUUAAAGCGCCAGGACUAUUUUCCGGACGACAGGGGAAAAUAGUUGACGAGGUGGAGGUUAUCGAAGUUUCGGCGGAUGCCUCCCGAUUGCACAUCUCAAUCGUUUAGCUUUGUUCCAAAAACAAUAAGGCGACUUAUUGCACAAAGGAAUGAUGCAAGAUGACU